GCUUUCCUGUGGCUCAACUGGUAGUGCAUUGCACUAACAAUGCGCAGGUUGUGAAUUCAAAUCCCAAGGAAAGCA